rnacentral:rRNA from 1 species
UACAGAGGUCUCAAGCGUUGUUCGGAUUCAUUGGGCGUAAAGGGUGCGUAGGUGGCAUGGUAAGUCGGAUGUGAAAUCCCGGGGCUCAACCCCGGAACUGCAUUCGAUACUGCUGCGCUAGAGUACUGGAGAGGAGAGUGGAAUUCCUGGUGUAGCGGUGAAAUGCGUAGAUAUCAGGAGGAACACCGGUGGCGAAGGCGGCUCUCUGGACGGUGACUGACGCUGAGACGCGAAAAGCGUGGGGGGAGCAAAACAGGGAUUAGAAAACCCCGUGUA